AUACGGAGGGUGCAAGCGUUGUUCGGAAUUACUGGGCGUAAAGGGCGCGCAGGCGGUUUGGUAAGUCUUUUGUGAAAGCUCCCGGCUUAACCGGGAGAGGUCAAGGGAUACUACCGGGCUUGAGGGCGGCAGAGGAAGGCGGAAUUCUCGGUGUAGCGGUGAAAUGCGUAGAUAUCGAGAGGAACACCAGCGGCGAAGGCGGCCUUCUGGGCUGUGCCUGACGCUGAGGCGCGAGAGCGUGGGGAGCAAACUGGAUUAGAAACCCCAGUAGUCC
rnacentral:rRNA from 1 species